rnacentral:rRNA from 1 species
UACGUAGGGCGCAAGCGUUAUCCGGAAUUACUGGGCGUAAAGGGCUCGUAGGCGGCCAACUAAGUCGGAUGUGAAAUCCCCAAGCUUAACUUGGGAACUGCAUCCGAUACUGGAUGGCUUGAAUCCGGGAGAGGGAUGCAGAAUUCCAGGUGUAGCGGUGAAAUGCGUAGAUAUCUGGAGGAAUACCGGUGGCGAAGGCGGCAUCCUGGACCGGCAUUGACGCUGAGGAGCGAAAGCUAGGGGAGCAAACGGG